GACAACCAGCCUUGCUCACGAAGCGUCAGCCGUAUCCUUUCUGUGUGCAGUGGGGUGUGGGUUGUGUGGAGCCGCGGUGUCUGUGGAAUUCACAGGCUGGGGCCGGAAUCCAUGGCCCCCGUCGCCGCUGCCACCCCCCAGGUGCUGGGGUGACCUGAUCCAGGGUUGGGGUCUAAGCUGCUGGGGGGUUGGAGUCUUGGGCUCUGGCCCACGUCCGCCUCUGAUUGGUUCUACCACCUGAGCCGGUCACUGACCCUCCAUGGGCCUCAGCUUACCCUAUGGUAAAGUGAGAACUAGGGGGUCAGACUCCUUGAUCACCAAGAUCUCUGACCACAGCCAAGGCUAAGGGAAGCGCAGGAAAACGUGGGGCUCGUCCAAAUUCCCAGCCUCUCUCUGCCCCCUGGUGGACGCCGGCAGCCUAGCACCCGGGGGGAGAUGACCCCGACACUGUGUGACCUCUGCCAAGGCACCCAUCCCUCUGAGCCCCAGUUCCCACCGGUUACAUAGGAAUGAUUAUAAUACCCACCUCUUUGGGCAAUUGUGAGGAGGCAAGGAGAUAAUACAUGCAAAGUGCUUGGAUGGGAUGGGUACUAGCCACUCAACAGAAGGCAGAUCCUAGAAUGGGGAUGGCAAGUCCUGUCAUCAGUGAAGAAUGUAAUGACUGCAAGCUUAGAUGACAUGUCUGUUACUGGAAACCAGAGUUGUUUACUUAAGCUGUAAAUGAACUCAUAGUCCCUGGGAUAAUUAUCUCACCUCUGGAUAAAUAAACUCAACAGCCUUAUGUAUUUUAUUAAUUUUUCUUAAAAAAAAGCUUAAAAUAUUUUUCCUUUGAUUUGUUCUCUUUCUUUGGUUUCUGACUUUAUUAUGUCCUUUCUUUCUGCUUAGGCAUUUGUUUUAUUGCUCUUUUUUCACCAACUCAAACUGAAUGGUCACCUUAACAGUUUUAUUGAGAUCCAUUAUUUAUUCUUCUCCAUCUUGUUCUGUGUUCCUGGAAGCCAACCUUUAUAAGCUGCAGGAAAUGGAUUUCCUACUCUCCACCUUCUGAUUGGGCUUGACCAACGGGGAGCACUGGCAGAAGACAAGCAUGGGAGGAAAAAGAGAUCAGGGCUGGAGUGCAGUGGCG
rnacentral:lncRNA from 1 species